GGAAAGCCUUCCGGACCAAGUACCACAAAUACGGGGGCCGCCAUGGACGACGAAGGUCCACUCAAACGACUCAGAUCUCAACCACUGAGACGUCAGUAGCUCUCAAGACUACCAGGGCUUUCAUGGACAGGAGUCAAGCUACUAACAAGUCAAGUAAAAGAUCAAGCGUCGUUGAUGGGCUUGCUAUCAAGAUGAGGAGCACAAAAGUGAAACCAAUAGCAGAUGACAAAUCGACAACAAAGUUGUGACGUGGUGUGCUGGACUUAAACUAUCAAGUAUCAUGCCUUUAUCAUGGCCCACCAGUGAGUCGCAAACCUAUUCCAGGUUGCUGCAAAGAUAUGUGAUACUGACAAGAUAGUUACUCUUGCAGCUAAAGCUGGAAUGAUCUUAUAGCAAUAUGUCAAAUUUUGAAGAGUGGCUGACAAUAUUUUGAAGAUAAAUGGUUUUGUUAAUUUGUUCAAUGUUAAAUUAGAAGCAUAAUAGCUUGAAUUAAGUGUGAUUUUUAAAUCAAUCACAAAAUAAGUAAGGGUCUGAUAUCAUCUACGAAACAAUUACCAUUAAUGUGUGAAAUUAAAUAUGAAUAGCUCUAUGCAACACAUUCCCUGUCAGUAUACUGUUUCAUCAAAGGUUGCAAAAGGAGUUAAAACCUUUUACGGGCUUGGAUUUUACUUGUGAAUUUAUAUUGUGCAAUUUCUGUAAAUGGAUAUACUCAACUUUGCAUAA